ensembl:lncRNA
AAAACUUUGUUAAUUGCAAGCUUAACAAAUGUAUUUAAACUGUGUACCAGCGUUCUAAAGAUAAUAUGUUAAUCCAAGGGAGAAAAUGCACAUAAAAAGUUGGAGCAUUUGGAGCUCUACUCUUGCAAACUGGUCAUAUUGAUUUUAUAUUGAAUGUCCUGCAAUGCAAACAAGUACAGUAAGACAGAGAAUCAGUGCUUGCAUGUAAGUUCUGGAAAAUGGAAACAAACAAAUAAAAGGAUAUAUAUAUGCUUUUCGUAAUACUAGGAAAACUGAUUUUUUUCAAAUAAAUGUACUUUUUAAAUUUUCUAAUGGAAUCAUAACUGCAAUAAUGUUUCAAAUAUGGCAGUAACAAUAUGAGUGUCCAGUUCUGAGCACACUGUUCUACAGUAUGCUGAUGUCUGAAUGUAAAUAUUGCAAGCAUAAAUAAAUCAAGAAAUGUUGCCUUAGAAUGCCAUUGGGAAAUGCAACAUGGGCAGCUGUGCAAACAACUAUAAUAUUGGAACAAAUUUAUGAGCAUAUGUAGAUACACUCAUUUUCUGCUUCAAAAGAAGGUUUCACCUUUCACUGCAGGUGAUUUGACAUUAUUUGCCAUAUCCAUCAUCACAGUACAAUAGAAUGCUGGGAUUUCAUUGUUGGAACAGAAGACGGGAAGUAAAAAAUAGCCAAGUAUUAAACUUAUACUCUAGUGGAAUUUAUUUGCUAGUUUGUUCUUGAAAUUUGCACAUUUAAUUACCCGUGGGAGAGAUUAUUUCUUGUGGCCAUUGGAUUUUUCAAAGUCAAAAUAACAUGUAAACAACUGGUGAUGAAAUUACCUGCCACAAAAUGUUAUAUUCUACCAAAGAACUCUGACAUAAAUUAAACAAAAACUUUUAUUUUGUAUACAAUCCUUCAGCCACCUUUUAAAACUUGCUUCUUACAAAACAUGUUCCCGGUAGCCUAAGUAGUUAGGAACUACAGCAUUGAAACUGAAUGGCACCAAUUGAGAUUUCCUGACUUGAGGAACUACUGCAGCAAAGCAGCUAAAUUUUUUCUAGUUAGAUCUCUGUAAAACCCAAGCCGUUAUGUAUUUCUAUCUUGACUGCACUACUAUGUUAUUUAAAACCUUUAUCAGCAGUAAUUUUCCUCAAUCACUGUUGGUCAUUCAGAUGCUGUUAUGGAGGUCAUUCACAGUGGGACAAAAGCAUUCAUUUAAAGCAGCAUUGUUUGUUUGAAACCAUAAAAUUGUCAGACUGGUAUCUCUUACUGUGCUGCCACCACACUUCUGUUUCAAAUGCAUUCCAAAAUGCUUUUCUUAAAGUAAUGAAAGUCCCAAAUCUUUAUCAACCACCAUCAGACACUUUAAUAUAAAGCUCACCAACAACAUUUUGUACGAAGCUUGAGUUCAACUUCUAGUGAAAAAAGUGCACACAAAAGUUGAGUUGUUGCACAUUCUCUAAUUAAAAUUCACUUCUGUACAUGAGCAGGAAAGGGUGUAGAACCUUAUUAAAUAGUUAGCACUGGAAUAUCUAUCUAUUAGAUGUGGAAUUAAAAGCCCAACCUGCUGUAACAUAUUGCAAAAGCCAUUCACAGAAAAAAUAUCCAGUUAUAAACUCCCUAAUCACAAAAUACAGUAUAUUUAAUAACCAAAUAAUGGGAGCUGUUGGCAUAUUUUUAAGGUGCUUAUGUGUGAAAACUGUGUUAAGCACUGAUUUUUAACUGCCUAGGAAGAACAGUAAGGCAGGAAGUCUGAGUUUUUCUACGUUUUGGAUCUCUGCUCUCUGACUACUGAGUUUAAUUCUUUUGUAGUUAUUGUUUAAAGUUAUAAUGCUAACUGCAGAAGAAACUGAAAAGGAUUACCUUUAUUGGUAUAUCCUAAUUAUAUAGUACCAUCUACUAAAUUCAUUCAGUAGCAUAUCUGAAUUUGUACUUUUAAUUUCAGUAAACUUCAUUUAGUCACAUCCUUUAAGUGACAUAGCAGUCAUCCUUUUUGCACACAUUGUAUUCAAGGCCUGAGCCUUAAUAGAAGGCUGGGUAUGGACUGUUUAUGUAAGAAGUAAUCAUCACAGCGAUGCUCGAGUACACCUCAUGAGGUACAGGAAAUGUCAGGAAAUGGCAUCCAAUGCCCUUCCUUCGAUCCUAAGGUCCCUCAGUAUUUUGUUAAGCUUGUGGAGUUUAUUAUAUCCAUUCUUACCUAAAGGGCAUCAGAAAAAAAGAACAUUUUCCAUGUGUAAACAGAGUUGAACUGGCUGCAAAAGCCUGUUAAAAACUGACUCUUUUAAGGGCUGAAAUUAGCUUCCAGCUGUGCAUUUAGUCCUACAAAAAGAUGCACUUGCAAGACUGCGGUUGCGCCCUCCCUGGAAGCAUUCAAGGCCAGGCUGGAUGGGGCUCUGAGCAACGUGGUCUAGAGGGAGGUGUCCCUGCCUGUAGCAGGGGGUUGGAACUAGAUGAUCUCAAAAGGUUCCUUCUAAGCCAAACCAUUCUAUGACAUGAAGGCAUUAGAGCUGCAUUCUAAAGAACAAAAAUAAGAUAUACCGUGUUUUCUCUGAAGGGUCUCGCAAAACAAAGCUUAACGUUCAUACGGCUUUUGCUCCCAGCCGUGAAAAACCUUCCAGACGCAAACCACGCCGAUCUCCGAGCAGGGCAGGAUUGCGAGAGCAAAACACAGCAACGUGACCGGCCCGGCCCGCUCCUCGGGG